CCCCACAACGGCUUCCUGACGUGGUGGUAUUACAAUAUUGGAGCG
rnacentral:ncRNA from 1 species